rnacentral:rRNA from 1 species
UACGGAGGGGGCUAGCGUUGUUCGGAAUUACUGGGCGUAAAGGGCGCGUAGGCGGGCUGACAAGUCUGGGGUGAAAUGCCGCGGCUCAACCGUGGAACUGCCUCAGAUACUGUCGGCCUCGAGGAAGGUAGGGGCAUGCGGAACUGUAGGUGGAGCGGUGAAAUGCGUUGAUAUCUACAGGAACUCCGGUGGCGAAAGCGGCGUGCUGGACCUUUUCUGACGCUGAGGCGCGAAAGCUAGGGGAGCAAACAGG